rnacentral:rRNA from 1 species
UGGGGAAUAUUGCACAAUGGAGGGAACUCUGAUGCAGCGACGCCGCGUGAACGAAGAAGGCUUUCGAGUCGUAAAGUUCUUUUAUAUGGGAAGAUAAUGACGGUACCAUAGAAAAAGCCCCGGCUAACUACGUGCCAGCAGCCGCGGUAAUACGUAGGGGGCUAGCGUUGUCCGGAAUCACUGGGCGUAAAGGGUUCGCAGGCGGAAAUGCAAGUCAGGUGUAAAAGGCAGUAGCUUAACUACUGUAAGCAUUUGAAACUGCAUAUCUUGAGAAGAGUAGAGGUAAGUGGAAUUUUUAGUGUAGCGGUGAAAUGCGUAGAUAUUAAAAAGAAUACCGGUGGCGAAGGCGACUUACUGGGCUCAUUCUGACGCUGAGGAACGAAAGCGUGGGUAGCAAACAGG